GUCAAAAUCUACAGGUGCUAUGCAAGUCUUAUCCAACAGAAUUCAUAUCAUAUUUUCGUUAUUGUCGAUCAUUGCGGUUUGAUGACAAGCCAGAUUAUUCAUACUUGAAAAGGCUUUUCCGGGAUUUAUUCAUUCGAGAAGGGUAUCAGUUUGACUAUGUUUUUGACUGGACUAUAUUGAAGUAUCCUCAAAUUGGUUCGGGUUCCAGUUCUAGAGGACGGACGGUUGGAAAAUUACCACUGACUCCCGGGCCUUCAGCAGAAAGAGCAGA